UCCGUCAAGAAUCACCAAAUCAGUCCAUCGCUGCUACCCAAAAAAUUACUCGCCCACGCUCGCGCCGCUGCUAGGCUAUACUCGCACAUACUCGCUGCCGGCCGCUCGUUGUACGUAUUGCCGGCCGAUCGUCGCUGACGCUGCUGAAGGAACACGCCGGCGCUCCAACAUCUCCACGCAAAGGUAAUUAAAAAGAAGGUUCAUACUCUCCUCUGCUCCCAUGGUGCUCCCAUGGUGAUUGUUGCUCCAUACAACACAUAUAUUUUCUAGGUUCAAAUCCCUACACAAUCCAAAGUUCAUAUCUUGUUUGGUCUCAUGAUGAUCUUUGAUCUCAUGUGAUACACUUCAAGAAUAGAACCAAAUUCAUAUCUUGUUUGGUCUCAUGAUAAUCUUUGGUCUCAUGUGAUACAAUUCAAGAAUAGAACUAAAAUAGAUAUUGAUUGGAUUGCACAUAUUGCUCUAACUUGCCCAAAUUAAUAUAUCCCUUGUUUUAGUCUCAUGGUGAAAUCCCAUGAAGAUACAAAUCGGGAUAAUCAACCAAAUCCUACUUUGGUCUCAUAGUGGCCAUUGGUCCUAUGAGGAUACAAAUUAGGUGCACAUGAUAAAAUUAUGUUUGAUGGCAGUUCCGAUCCCAUGAUGAUACCUAUUGUGCUGUAAAGAUCCUAGAUUAUUCUCCAUAUAAGAUGAUAGUCUAGUCAUAAAUAUAUAUAUGAGUUGUUGCUUUUUGAUGCUGACCCAUCGGCAUAUAUUAACUAAAAAUAAAUUAUGUAUUCCCUCAUAUGGAUGUAAGUAUGAAUUCCGAUAAAUUGUUUGAUGGGUAAAUUCACUCAUAUUGGUUUUGCACUAGAUACGGAGUAGUGUAUGUGAAAUGUUCUGUAUUCCAUUCCACAUUAGGAGUUACAAAGAAAACUAGUACACCAUGUUGUUAGUACUAGAACUAAAUAUAAUGAUCAAAGUGCUCGUACAUGAUAUUUACUCCAUGCAUAGUUUAGUCCCAUAUAGCUAAACUGAACCAAGAAAUUGCCAUAGGUUUUAUCAUGCUCCAUCAAAUAUAAAAUCGAUAUAUACUUCGAGUUUGGUUACACUACGUGCAUACGUGCUAUGCUAUGUUGGUGAUAAUACAAAUGAGAAGAAAUCACAAAGCUCCACUUGGUUAUGCUACACGUGGGCGUAUUGUCACACGGCGCUAGUAAUAAUACAAGUGAAGUGAAACUUAAUGAAAUAUGUUCAUAUAGAAACACUAGUCUCGCAUACAAAACUAGUGCAUUAACAUAGGUGUUGAAACCAUAUUGCACCACCAAGUUGCAUGCAUAUUCAAUGGAAAGUCCGCAUACUCACAAAUCAACAUAUACUCUUACUUGGUCACACUACAUGCUAUGCUAUGCUAGUGAUGAUACAACUAAGAAGAAAUAACCAUACUUCUCUCGGUUAUGCUACACGUGGGCAUAUUGCUACACGGCGCUAGUUAUAACACAAGUGAAGCCAAAGUUAAUCAAAUUCUCAUGUGGCAUACCGAUCCAAGAAACAUAGGGUAAAGUCAUGCCUAGCCAAAUCAACUUGCAUUUUAUACUAUCCAUCAUGCUAGUAAUAUAGAUGAAGUUGAGUAGAAACCAAGUUGGCCGUGCACUGAAAAUAUAGCAUGAGCCGAAUGUCGUCAAAUAGUGGUUUGGUGGAAAUAUUAAACUACUAUUAUCAAAGAUUAGUACAAUUAAAUAUGUACGCCAAAGUCUAGCUAGACGAGUCUCCAAAAUAGACAGAUCUAGUCUCCGAUGCGAUAUAAAAUAAGUUUCCCAUAUGAGCUUCCAUGCUCUAAAAUUCAAAUAUAAAAGCCGGCAUCUGUAUGCUAAUAUAAAUGCUUCCGAACAUGAAUUAGCACCGCAUCGCAGUAUCUACUUGUCGUAUGCACCAGUUGGUUUAAAUAUUAAACUACUAAAUACUAAAUCACGGUACAGUUAAAAACGUACGAGAAAGUAUAGCUAGCUGAGUCUCUGGAAUAGAUGAAUCUAGUAUCUUCAUAUGAGCUGUCAUGCUCUAAAAAGGAGUCAGGUCUAAAAAUCCUUACACUUCUGUUGCUAUAGCAUCUCUGGAAAUGUAUUAGCAGCCCCAUGAUAAUAUCCUCUUGCACAUACCUCAACGUGUAUGCAAGAUAAAAAUUAAACGAAGAUAGAUGCAGGUUAGUCCAAGAUAUAAUCGGUUAGCUUGCAUUCCUCAAAUACUCUCAUGUUGAAAGGAAAUGAGAAAUUAAAUUAUGUAUAUCCCUGUAGCGAUGAUUCAGUGCUACACCCAUCAGUACUAACCAGUACUACACCCUUCGUACUAGAAAAAGAAUAUGCGGAUUUAAAUAUAGAAUAGCUGCUGAUGCAUGCAUGUAGAAAAGCAUUGUGCAUGACCCUGGGCCAAAAUCGCAUGCACCAUUCUGAUGCUCUUAUUAGUUGGCUAAUGAAACAACCUCAUGGACAAUUAAAAGUUUACUUCAUGAUCUAAGCCAACUGAAUAUAGUACCGACUGAAUAUAGUAUAUAUCUGAUGCAUGCGCUUUACUUGUACUUCCCAAACUAGUACAAGUGCCAAAUAUUGUGCUUGUACCUCUUAUACUAGUGCAAGUGAAAAAUGAGACUUAUACACUAAAUAUAAAUGAUGCCAAAAACAUGAUAACUUAAAGAAGAUGAAGUGCUCCACGAGCAGACGACGACGACGGCGGCAGCGGAAGCGAGGAGGACUUUAGUUACUACAAUUUGUAGUACCCAUAUGUUGUAGUGUCAUGUAAUAGCUAUUGUUGGAAUACUUAAUCAAGGGUUUUCUCUCCGGAGAUGUAAUUAACAGUUCUUUUAUGUAAAUGUGAAAGUUCUGGAAAUAAAGUACCUGCAAUGUUUGAUAUCU